AGGUGCCAGUGCAUCCUCCACUUCAAGUGCAUCAGUAGGCCUACCCCCAAGGGCCACACAGUCAAAAUCAUAUCAGAGAUCUGUGUUCAUGGCUGAGCUUGUCAACGGCAGGUUGCAACCCAACAGAAUGCUGGUGAUCAGAUUCCUGGAGGGGGAUGCCACAGUUCAGGGCAUUCUUGCCAAAGUGCAAGAUGCCCUAGGGGCCUAUGACCCCCUGAUCCUGACUGAUGGGCAGGGAAAUGAAAUACUGGACUCAGAGGGAACCAGAGGCUCCAUAUACUGGAAGCAAAAUGCGAGAAAAAUUCUUGCCCUUCCGGAGAUGCACUUCGCUGAACUAAAAUCAGGGAAAAGAAGGAAA